UACGUAGGUGGCAAGCGUUAUCCGGAUUUAUUGGGCGUAAAGGGAACGCAGGCGGUCUUUUAAGUCUGAUGUGAAAGCCUUCGGCUUAACCGGAGUAGUGCAUUGGAAACUGGGAGACUUGAGUGCAGAAGAGGAGAGUGGAACUCCAUGUGUAGCGGUGAAAUGCGUAGGUAUAUGGAAGAACACCAGUGGCGAAAGCGGCUCUCUGGUCUGUAACUGACGCUGAGGUUCGAAAGCGUGGGUAGCAAACAGG
rnacentral:rRNA from 1 species